GGGCCCGCACAAGCGGUGGAGCAUGUGGUUUAAUUCGAUGAUACGCGAGGAACCUUACCAGGGCUUAAAUGUAGUGGGACAGGUCUAGAGAUAGACCCUUCUUCGGACUCAUUACAAGGUGCUGCAUGGUUGUCGUCAGCUCGUGCCGUGAGGUGUCAGGUUAAGUCCUAUAACGAGCGCAACCCCUAUCGUUAGUUGCCAGCGAGUAAUGUCGGGAACUCUAGCGAAACUGCCGGUGCAAACCGAGAGGAAGGUGGGGAUGACGUCAAAUCAUCACGGCCCUUACGUCCUGGCUACACACGUGCUACAAUGGCCGGUACAGAGAGCAGCCACUACGCGAGUAGGAGCGAA
rnacentral:rRNA from 1 species